AGAAGAACUGUCCUGACGGGUUCUAUGGACGUUUGUGUGCAGAAGUCUGUAAUUGUUCUUCAUGUGACAAGGUCUCUGGAUGUCAACCGAUUUCAACUCAGACUGGUAAGAAAAUAUUUGUGCAUAAGUUUCAGCGCCUAGUGUAUAGACAUUAACAAUAAACAAUUAUGAGAUAUAUUUCAACAAAGAUACUCACUUAAAUAAAUAAAUGCUUAUUCAGUAUAUAUGCACAUACAAAUAUACAUACAUAAAUACUAAGGAUAUCCCAUGAAAGCUUAAAAGCUUAUUUCCAAUGGGGUCCUUUGAUGCACGGAUGUUCGCACCAGGGGCAUUAUGUAGGUGGGAACCGGAGUACCCAUAGGGAACCUACGUAUCCAUACCCUAUGGACAGGACUUGCACCUCACCCCGCCCUAGAUUAAUUUUUUUUUAUGAUCACAAAGUUCAUCUGUUAUCGCAAUUAACCUUUGAAUUAGAACGCUUUGGCCGAUAUACUAUUGCGUUGUGUGACGACACAAUUGAAUCUGCUUGUAAUACAAUUGCGAAAUGCAACAGGCACUCUCAUUGGUCCAUAUGUAUAAGUCCGCCCAAAUUCCCUUAUACGGGAGUAGUCAGCAUUUGAAAACAUGACGAGCAGAUGCUAGAUGGAAAAAAACUUCAAAGGAAGAAAGAGAAAAAGUUGUAUUCUUGUGUUGUUGUCUCAUAACUUUAAUAUAAAAAAAAAUUCCUAACAUAUUUUCCUACUAUACUUGUGUCCAAACAUACCUUCAAAUAUUUAUUAAAGCGUCAAAAACUCGAUCACAGCUUUUGAUGAUUUCGUUCGUAGACGUAGCCAUGUUAGGUAGCCAGUCAAUUCGAAUCCCGGUUCAUUUCCAUACUGGCACAAUAGCGUCUAGAUGUGUACUAAUACCCCACAAAUAUUUUAGCUAAAUAGUUUAGAUAAUAUACCACCCCAGUCCCAUUAAAUGAUAAUUAUUCAAAUAGCUAAACUCAAGGCAAUGCGGCUUUCAUUAGUCAUGAGCGGCCGCGCCGGCCGGUCUCUAUCUAAUGGGCUUAUGUAGCAUUUUCGUUAAUCAAGAGUUUAUUUUACCUUUACAAAAACUGGUACAAAAAUGUUUUAAUUUCUAUUAAUUAUUCGUGUUGAAUAGGUCCCUGGUGUUGAUAAUAAAUGAAGAGCGAAUACAUAACUUACAACCGAUUUUAUGAAUAGAUACCAAUAGCAAGAGUUCGAAUUGACCGGCUACCUAACAUGGCUACGUCAACAAACGAAAUCAUUUGAAGCUGCGAGUUUUCGGGCCGUGUGUGGCUUUAAUGAAAAUUUGAAGGUAUGUUUGGACACAAGUAUAUAGUAGGAAAAUAUGUUAAGAUUUUUUUAUAUUGAGUUUAUGAGACAACAACACAAGAAUACACCAAUUUCAGGCCUCAAUCGUCCGAAGCUUUUUGUGACCCGUAAAUCGAAGGUUUUUAUAAGGGGUGGAUCUUUUCAGAGAGCUAUGUACAUUUCUCCAGCUACACUGACUCCGCUCGAGAAAGUGGGCGGACUGUAAUCGGCCAAUGAAAACUCUUGUUGUAUUACAUCAAACAUGCCAUUCAAAUUGUUCAAUCGUCUCAUUCAAUUGUGUCGUCACACAACGCAAUACUAUAUCGGGUAAAGCGUUCUAAUUCAAAGGUGAAUUGCGAUAAAAUCACUGCACAUGACAAUCAAUAAAAUAGGUUUCUGUGUGGGAUUUGUUUAUUUCAUUGAAAUAACAAUAGGCCCAUGGGCCACAUCGCUCACCUAGAUACCAUUGCACUGCUCUUGUUCAGCUAUUGUGAUUUUUAAAGUGUUUUUUCCAAUGUUCACUCCCAUGAAAAAUUGUUAACACAAUCUAGCCUCAAAGGAAAACCGAACUUGAAUUCACACAACAUGGAUAUGCCUUAAUACCCAUAUUACUAACAUUACGUUGCUGUUCUGAAAAAGUUUUUCAUUCAUGUAUACAAUAUGUCAAAUUUUAUACAUCCUAACCCUAGAGUUAACAACACGAAUAAAAAACUCCACAAAACGUUGGAACGUUUGUAUUUUGAUAUGAUUUAGUGCGGUCCUCUUACUGUUGAAAUUGACAAGAAUUUUCCUGAUAAAUUUCCUGUGUAUUCCUAUAUAAGAAUCUUAUCUUCUACUGUGGCCCAACCUCUAGGCUCCUGAACUGAAAACAAAUUCCAUUUCAACUACCUGAAUAAGUUUGCAUAGUAAUAUUGUAAAUCAUGCCCCUGAUGUUUUUGAUAUGAAGAACUUUAAAGAUGCUAUCUUUAUUUGAAGUUUUGAGCCCAUAUUGUGGCUCCAACUUACUCACAGGACCAUAAUGUGAGGAAACUUGAAUCUGCACUAACUGGGGAUGCUUGUGUAUCUUUAUGAUUAAUCAUGGUCCUAUUGUUCUUAGGGCAAAGAUUUAAAGAUUAAAAUUUAAAGAUGCCCUUUUAUCUGCAUGUGAUCCCUAUUGUGGACCCACCUCGCCCCCGUGGUCAUGGCUUGGUUAUUGACCCACCUCGCCCCCGUGGUCAUGGCUUGGACAAAUUCUACACUAUGUCAGGAAGCCUUGUAUUCUCUGUACCCAAGGGUGAUUUGUACCAACGUUGAGAUGGCGCAGUGGUUCUGGCGAAGAGUUUACGGACAGACGCCUGACAACAUGUGAUCGGAAAAGCUCAUCUGAAAGCUGUUUUAGCUGAAGUGGGAUAAAACACUGGCUCUUAAGUUGAAAAUGUAAAAAGGUUAUGGACAGACGCCUGACAACACGUGAUCGGAAAAGCUAGUGAGAUCAACCACUAGCUCUUUAGGUGAAUAUUUUGUGAAAAAUAUACGCGAAAUACCCAAGGUAUUGAACAUUUAAAAGUAAUGGGAAAAGGGUAGGGUUUUGGGAGGCAGUCCUUUAUGGGUUUUAGAGUGAUUCGACCAUUUCUUUAAGGCAGGACAAAAUGUAAAGUUUCUUGUUUACUUUGUUUACUUCCUUUGCAUUGAGUUGUUUUAAUUUUCCAAGUUUAAAAAAAUAUAUUAAUCAGUAUUUUCAACUUUAUAGCUUACGUAACUUUAAAUAAAACACCUCCUUCCAAUUCUAUUUUUGUUAAAAGUUAAUCGCUAACCUUGCAAGCAUGUCACAUUUGACAAAAUUGUUAUCUGCAUCAAUUUAUGCACUAUGAAUGAACCAAAUUUGUCUCAAUUUAACCGGAAAUAUCAUUUAAGCACAUAUGCAAAUAAAAGUUCCUGUUUGUGAAGGUAGAUCAAUACCAAUAAAAUGUUCGGAAACAUUUAAUUUUUAAAAAGUGCCUAUGAUUCUUGGCAUGGUACAUGUUCCCAAGUCAAGGGUUAUUGAUUUAUGCACUUAUAGUGAGAGGUAACGAAUGGAUAACCCUUGACUUGUGAAGAUGGUCUUGGUAAUGUAAUCUUUAUGUUAUGUACAAUAAUGCGUUGUACAUAUAAUUUGGUGUUGCUGUUGAAUGGCUCAGUUGUGACGUCAGAUAAUCAGACAGAGAAUCCUGAAGUCUGCACAAAGUAUGUAAACAUUUUAUUGUAUGAUACUCCCCUUGAAUUUUUUUUUAUAUUUUCCAAUGUUAAGAUCUCCAAUCAUUGUUAUAUGAAAACUUUCUCCCAAACAGUAAAAGUUAACCUCUACAAUGUUGUAAAAGUUACAACGGACGUGGUGAUUCAUGUGAGAAUGCUCGUCAGGCACCUUUGGCAUAGAUUGUAAUGAGGACUGUCUUGACGGGUUGUAUGGACGUUUAUAAUUGUUAUUUGUGUGACAAGGUCUCUGGAUGUCAGGUGAUUGGUAAGAAAAAUGUUUGUGCAUAAGUUUAAGUUUUAUUCCUCGAAUGGUUCAAGUUAUUUACUAUAUAAAUGUGUUUACAUUAACAAUAAAUAGUUACGAGAGAUAUUUCAAAAAGAUACUUAAAUAAAUAAAUGUUUAUUCGGUAUAUGCAUACAUACACACAUUUCAACAAGCUCUGUACCCAAGGAUGAUUUCUACCAAGUUUGAAAUUGGCGCAGUGCUUCGGCAGAAGAUAAAAAUGUGAAAAGUUUAUGUACAGACGGACGGGCGCCUGACAACCUGUGAUCGGAAAAGCUCACCUGAUCUGAAAGCUCAAAUCAUAAGAGAGGUGUAACUAGCGAAUGGCAAUGUUUCCUAUAUUUGAUCUACUUGUACACUGGACAUCAGAAGUGAAGUGAAGACAAUCUGGUUUAUUGAGAAAUUAGUAAGUGAAGUUUUCAAUAUACAAAACACUGGGUGCCAACUAUAUCUCUGUGCACGCUUUGCCUGCUACGCCCAAACCAACUCACAACUGGUAUUUCAAGUGAAUAUAUACACAGGUAUCUAAAUGUAGACCUGGUGAACAUCAUUAACUUUACCUGUAUGGAAGCAAGUUAGGAAUAAAAUUAUAUACAUUUAAUUCUUUUGUACAAGGUUAAAACUAGGGAAAGUAGUUUGGACAUAAAAUGUGACACUUAAAGAACUUUAAAUAAGACAACUCAUUCCAGUUCUGUAUCUGUCACUUUUAUACUGUUUUGCGAAAAGUUGAUCGUUAACCUUGCAAGCGUGUCACAUUUGAAACUAUUGUGUUCUGAAUCAAUUUAUGCAUAUUGGAACGAAAUUUGUCUUAAUUACUGAUAACUGUUCAAUCACAUGUUUAUUUUAAAAGAAAUGAAUUUCAUGUUUGUAUAGACAGGGAAUAAAUGUUACGCUUCACUCUCGGAUACUUCAUGAACAGCAUCAGCUCGAACAAGACAAAUACUAACCCCUGGAUAUACCAGUGGUGGGAUUAGGUGCCUAGGAGGAGUACGCAUCCCCUGUCGACCGGUCACACCCGCCGUAAAUCUAUCUUUAUCAAGAAGGAAGUUGUACCGGAUAUUUCAUUUCAGCACAUAUCCAAAUCAACGUUCCUGUUUGGAAAGGUAAAUCAGUACUAUUAGAAUGUUAGGGAACGUUUCCAUAUUCAGAAUAAGCUAUGAUACUGGUUUUGGUAAUGUAAUGUUAUGAUGUGCAUAAUAAUCCGCUUUUAUUUGGUGGUGCUGUUGAAUAGUUUAUUUGUGAUAUCACUUGCUCAGAUAUAUAAUCCUGGGGUCUACUCAAAGUAUGUAAACAUUUUAUUGUAUGAUUGAUGAUUUUUAUACAUUCUGAUUUUAAAUUCUCCAUUCAUUGCUUUAUAAAACUGUUCCUCCAAACAGUGAAGACGAACCUCUACAAUGUUGUCCAAAUUACAAAAGACGUGGUGAUUCAUGUGAAGAAUGUUGGCCAGGCACAUUUGACAUAGAUUGUAAGGACUGUCCUGACGGGUUCUAUGGACGUUUAUGUGCAGAAGUCUGUAAUUGUUCUUCGUGUGACAAGGUA